UGGGGAGUAUUGGACAAUGGGGGCAACCCUGAUCCAGCAAUGCCGCGUGGGUGAUGAAGGCCUUCGGGUUGUAAAGCCCUUUCGCACGCGACGAUGAUGACGGUAGCGUGAGAAGAAGCCCCGGCUAACUUCGUGCCAGCAGCCGCGGUAAUACGAAGGGGGCUAGCGUUGUUCGGAAUGACUGGGCGUAAAGGGCGCGUAGGCGGCGGACUAAGUCAGGCGUGAAAGCCCUGGGCUUAACCUGGGAAUUGCGUUUGAUACUGGUUUGCUUGAGUGCGGGAGAGGAUGGUGGAAUUCCCAGUGUAGAGGUGAAAUUCGUAGAUAUUGGGAAGAACACCGGUGGCGAAGGCGGCCAUCUGGACCGUUACUGACGCUGAGGCGCGAAAGCGUGGGGAGCAAACAG
rnacentral:rRNA from 1 species